AGAAACUACAAAGGAAUUAGACGGGGCCCGGCACAAGCGGUGGAGCAUGUGGUUAAUUCGAAGCAACGCGAAGAACCUUACCAGGCCUUGACAUGCAGAGAACUUUCCAGAGAUGGAUUGGUGCCUUCGGGAACUCUGACACAGGUGCUGCAUGGCUGUCGUCAGCUCGUGUCGUGAGAUGUUGGGUUAAGUCCCGUAACGAGCGCAACCCUUGUCCUUAGUUGCCAGCAGUUCGGCUGGGCACUCUAAAGGGACUGCCGGUAUUAAACCGGAGGAAGGUGGGGAUGACGUCAAGUCCUCAUGGCCUUUAUGACCAGGGCUACACACGUACUACAAUGGCCGAUACAAAGGGCAGCGACACUGCGAGGUGAAGCCAAUCCCGUAAAAUCGGUCUCAGUCCGGAUCGGAGUCUGCAACUCGACUCCAUGAAGUUGGAAUCGCUAGUAAUCGUGGAUCAGCAUGCCACGGUGAAUACGUUCCCGGGCCUU
rnacentral:rRNA from 1 species